rnacentral:lncRNA from 10 species
UUUAACUUCUCUCUGCUUUACAGUUACAAGCGGUAAUACAAAGAGACAGGAUUAUAUGAUCUCCAAGGUCCCAUCCAGCCCAUUUAACACGGCAUUGUGGCUCUGGAGACCUGGAAGCACUGCUAACUGUUCUCUCGAUUUUCUGACGCUCGGCCACAUCAACCUGUCAUACUAGUUGUGAGGAGAAGUCAAGGACAGUGACACAGCCAGCCAGUCUGAGGCAUUUUCCAUCAUCCUGAAGGAGUUGCCCUAUCCUGCUUUUCACUGGAGGGGGCAUGGAUGGAUCUGGAAUGUAUAAUUGGAGUAGACAUUCUCAGCAGCUGGCGGAAACCCCGCAUUGGUUCCAUGACAUGUGGAAUGAAGGCUACGAUGGUAGGAAAAGAUAAGUGGAAGCUGCUAAAACUGCAUUUACCUUGAAAAAUAUUAAACACAAAGAAACACUACAUUCCUGGAAAGACUGCACCAUCAAGGACUUGAAAGACUCAGGGACGGGGUGAUUCUUAUGUUCUCACUCAACUUGCCUGUGCGGGAGUCAGAUGAAUCUUGGAGAAUGACAGUGGAUUAUUAUAAGCUUAACUAGGUGAUGACUCCAAUUGCAGCUGCUGUACUGGAUGUGGUUUCAUUGCUCGAGCAAGUUAAUACAUCCCCUGGUACCUAGUAUGCAGCUAUUGAUCUAGCAAAUGCCUUUUUCUCCUUACCUCUCAAUAAGAACAACCAGAAUCAGUUUGCUUUUAGCUAGUAAGGUCAGCAAUAUAGCUUCACUGUGCUGCAUCAGGGGUAUGUUAAUUCUCUACCACUAUGUCAUAAUUUAGUUUGCAGGAAUCUUUAUCACCUUUCCCUUCCAAAAGAUAUCACACUAGUCUAUUACACUGGUGACAUGAUGCUGAUUUGACGUAGUGAGCAAGAAGUAGCAACUACUCUAUAGUUAUUGGUAAGACAUUUGCAUGUCAGAGAAUGAAUUUUCAAGAAAAUUCAGUGAAAUUUCUAGGGGUCAGUAUGUGGAGCAUGUGAGAUAUUACUUCUAAGGUAAAGGAUAAGUUGAUGUAUUUGCCUCACCUUCAACCAUAAAAGAGGAACAAUGCCUAGUGGGCCUCUUUGGAUUCUGGAGGCAACAUACUCCUUAUUUGAGUGUGUUACUCUAGUCCAUUUACU